GAAAAGGCCCUGCAAAGUAAUGGAUCCCUGUGCUGGAAGAUGCCGACAACUCAAGUUACCAACUGUGUAGUAACGGGCAAGGAGCUAGAGGACCUCACUUCUGGUCACUUCCUUCCACUACAGUAGGUCCACAAACGGAGAGGAAAUUUUUCCUGGAAUCUUGAGAGGAGAAACUUACCCUAAAUUAUCCAGGUGGCCUCUAAAUGCAAUUACGUGUAUCCUUAUAAGAGAGAGGCAGAGGAAGAUUGGGGACAGACCCACACACACAGAGGUGAAAGCCAUGUGAAGAUGCAGCAGAAAGAGAUGCAGCCACAAGCCAGGAAACGCCAACA